rnacentral:lncRNA from 1 species
CUAAGCUAACUCACAGCUCCACUGUCACAGGCUGCCAGGCACGAACGACCAGCAUGUUUAAUGAAGAUUUCUCCUGCUUAUGUUAGACCUUCCUGUAUCCAGUUCUCUUGAAAUGAUAAAGAUAAUUUCAUAUAAGUUAUAUCUCAUCUGAAAUAUGCUGUGCCUCUCUGACUGAUGAGAAAUUAUUUAUUAGAUGAAUCAGGCAGUAGAAGAACCUGUAUUCCAAUUCAACGAGGAUGGUCAAACCAUCUAAAAGAAUGAUGACUUCCACUUUUCUAUCUACUUUUGAUACAAGAAAUCUGAAGUGGGACAAUACAAGAUGCCAAUUUGGAGUUUGGAAUUCUUUGCUUUGUGUGUCAAUAUUCAUUUCAAAUAUUUUCAUAUUUUACAUGAUUGCCAGUAAUGACAAGGUGAGUUUAACACAGGGUCAGAAAUUUAAGACAGAUUUAUGGUGUAUCUUUUUGUUUCCUUGUUUUUGUUGUGCCUUAUAU